rnacentral:rRNA from 1 species
GAUGAACGCUGGCGGCGUGCUUAACACAUGCAAGUCGAACGAUGAAGCCCAGCUUGCUGGGUGGAUUAGUGGCGAACGGGUGAGUAACACGUGAGUAACCUGCCCUUAACUCUGGGAUAAGCCUGGUAAACUGGGUCUAAUACCGGAUAGGAGCGUCCACCGCAUGGUGGGUGUUGGAAAGAUUUAUCGGUUUUGGAUGGACUCGCGGCCUAUCAGCUUGUUGGUGAGGUAAUGGCUCACCAAGGCGGCGACGGGUAGCCGGCCUGAGAGGGUGACCGGCCACACUGGGACUGAGACACGGCCCAGACUCCUACGGGAGGCAGCAGUGGGGAAUAUUGCGCAAUGGGGGCAAGCCUGAUGCAGAGACGCCGCGUGAGGGAUGACGGCCUUCGGGUUGUAAACCUCUUUCAGUAGGGAAGAAGCGAAAGUGACGGUACCUGCAGAAGAAGCACCGGCUAACUACGUG